rnacentral:lncRNA from 1 species
GAGGGAUCCCAUGGGGCUCCCAAGCCACUGUGGGCAGCACAGGGUGGUGGAUGGGACACGUCACCGAGGGCAGCCGCUGCCACAUCCCCUCUCGUGUCCGGCUGAACCCAUGGUCUGAAUCCCACAUCCUCCUGCAGAGCUUUGCUUCCCCCUUCCCAGGCUCUCUGUGCCGAGCUGGCUUAUCCCACCAGCUGCAUGUAUUUUCCUCAUCUUCCCAUUCCCUGUGCAUGUCCCCGGAAUGAGAAGCUUCCACAAUAUCCCCGUCAGCUCCAGCUUGGAUGCCAACUGACCCAACCCUGGGGUCAUUUCCAUGCCAGUCCUAAUGUGGGUAUAGAAGCAGGGAUGUCUAAUCCAGCCUCCAGAUGCUGAAAAAUCCUUGGGGAUUUAUCCAUCUCAGCUCUGUCCCUAGGCCUGUGUGGAGGGAGCUGCCUUUGUGCUGUGGGACACUGAACUGCUGCCUCUUCCCCAUCCUGCUGGAGCACAGCCACCACACUGGAGAGGAGAGGAGAGGGGAGGUGAGAGGUGAGACAGCGCUUGGCAUCAAUGGGGCAAAUGGGGAGGCAUCAAUGGGGCAAAUGGGGAGCUGCCUGCUGGAUUUUCAGUCUAAUUUACUGUGCACUCAGGAGAAAAAAUACAGAAGAACCAUAACGUGUUGCAGAUUGGAAGGUCUCAAAGCUGAUAAUGAGCUGUUAAUAAGCGUUAUCCUGGAUUUUCCGCUGGAAGUAGGCGGGUAAUAGACAUUUUGUGCAGGAUGAGGCUGCAGCCACAUCCUGGUGGAGAUGAGGGGCUGAAUCAUGUCCUGAUGUCUCAGGGUCAGGGGGUGGGAACUUGGUGAGGAGCUGCAGGAACAUCUUUCUCUGGGGCCAGUUGUGGGUUUCCCAUGGGAUGCCCCACACCUGUGUGCUCCCUGUCCCCUCUUGCCCACAUGUGUCAGGGGGCUGUGACCCUCCUGCUGUGACUGACACCAUGUGUUUGCCCAGCAGAGAAACAUCGCUGACUGGAGAUCCUGGGGCUGCCCA